rnacentral:rRNA from 1 species
AGUGAACGCUGGCGGUAGGCCUAACACAUGUAAGUCGAACGACAGCACAGUAAGAGCUUGCUCUUACGGGUGGCGAGUGGCGGACGGGUGAGGCAUACAUAGGAAUCUACUUUUUCGUGGGGGAUAACGUAGGGAAACUUACGCUAACACCGCAUAUGUCCUACGGGAGAAAGCAGGGGAUCUUCGGACCUUGCGCGAUUGAAUGAGCCGAUGUCGGAUUAGCUAGUUGGCGGGGUAAGGGCCCACCAAGGCGACGAUACGUAGCUGGUCUGAGAGGAUGAUCAGCCACACUGGAACUGAGACACGGUCCAGACUCCUACGGGAGGCAGCAGUGGGGAAUAUUGGACAAUGGGCGAAAGCCUGAUCCAGCCAUACCGCGUGAGUGAAGAAGGUCUUCGGGUUGUAAAGCCCUUUUGUUGGGAAAGAAAAGCAGCAGGUUAAUACCCCGCUGUUCUGACGGUACCCAAAGAAUAAGCACCGGCUAACUUCGUG